rnacentral:lncRNA from 1 species
GCCAGGCACCAGAAGUGAGAGCAGAAGUCUGCAUCCUGCCGAGCCGCCGCAGACGGAGCCCCGCUGCUGACUGGACCCUCUCUGGCCCUGUGGUUCGGUUCUCACAGUUCCAGUGAGACUGGGCAGCGUGUUUGCCUGUCCUGAGGUGCCAGGCCUGCAGAGAGUGGACUCUGGUGGGUGCUUCCUUCCUCUGCUGCCUAACUGAGUCUGGCACAGGCUUUCUGCCUUGCCAUGAGGAGGAGGUGUAGACUUGUGAGUGCUCUCUCCGCUCUGAGUGGCCCUCGGGGAACCACCUGCUUUCCAUCUGUGGGGUGGGGCGCUCGCUCCGAGUAUGUGUGGCAAGGUGGAGGCCACAAUGCCAAGGUUCCCUAGUGUGUUUUUCUUUGUUGGUUCUUAAAAUUAUCAACCUUUGUUACGGAUGGGCCUCCACUAGGUGGCUGUGGGUAAAGUCUUGGGGGGAGGAUAGGAAAGGAGACCGGCUGAGCCUCAGGGCUAAUUGUACUGAGUAAGGACUGCAGCUCCCGGUGACCGCGAGGAGUCGGUGAGGUGGGACUGGUGACUCUCAGAAGCUCCUCGGUGCACUUUUGUCUCGGCAGAGCUGGGAGGGAGCAGGCGCUCGCGGAAGCACGUCACUUACUGGGUUUGUUCACCUGUUUCCAGCAAGUUUUGGUCUUUUGGGCAGAAGCCUGUUGACCAACUGUGGGCCACCACAGUCUGCACAGAAAGGUGGCACCCGGAGUGGUUGUGGCCCUCACUACCAAGCCACGGGCAGCCCAUUUCCAGUAGGAUGGCGGUUUGGAUUUCUUUGCUCAGAGCCAAUGCAGUUGACACAGUGGCUGCUGGGUUACUGUCCCAUGAGACUGUACUGGACGGGUGCAGCCAGAGUGGCGCAGUGCACUAAGGUGCCGGCCGCCCUGCCUGCCCGGUGCCUCCCACUGACCUGAGCUUACUAAGGGAUGGCAGCAGCUCCCCAGAAAAAAACGACACUGCGAGCCCUCGGGACAUGACUGAGUUCCACCUCCUGAAGCCAGACUCCACCUCUUGUGCUUUUUUGCUUGGGAAAAAGGAGUUUUUCUUUAGAAACAGUGCCAAGAAUGAUAUAAACUACUUUUAACUAAGAUGCCUAACAGGCUUUUAACACAGGUGUCCAUCUCCACUCUGUCCCCGGUCUCUGUCCCAGCUCAGGCUGCGUUCUCUAACUCAUACUGUGAAGACAACCGUGUUUUUGAUUAAAAAAAAUAUAUCUACAUAGUCUUAAUUUGUAAAAAAUAAAGAAAAUUCCUUAACCUUU